CUACGGGGUGCAGCAGUGGGGAAUCUUGGACAAUGGGCGCAAGCCUGAUCCAGCCAUGCCGCGUGAGUGAAGAAGGCCUUAGGGUCGUAAAGCUCUUUCGCCAGAGAUGAUAAUGACAGUAUCUGGUAAAGAAACCCCGGCUAACUCCGUGCCAGCAGCCGCGGUAAUACGGAGGGGGUUAGCGUUGUUCGGAAUUACUGGGCGUAAAGCGCGCGUAGGCGGAUUCGUCAGUCAGAGGUGAAAUCCCAGGGCUCAACCCUGGAACUGCCUUUGAUACUGCUAGUCUUGAGUUCGAGAGAGGUGAGUGGAAUUCCGAGUGUAGAGGUGAAAUUCGUAGAUAUUCGGAGGAACACCAGUGGCGAAGGCGGCUCACUGGCUCGAUACUGACGCUGAGGUGCGAAAGCGUGGGGAGCAAACAGGAUUAGAUACCCUUGUAGUC
rnacentral:rRNA from 1 species